UUCGGCGCCGGCGGGACCUCGGCGUCCAGCAGCGCGGAGACUGGGCUACCGUGGCGGGAGCGUUGAUUCCGUGGGCAGCCGGUCUGUCUGAGCUUACGCGCGGACCCGGCUCCGCGCCGGCACCCGACAGCUGUGGAACUCCUCAGGCGCGCCAGUGCGGAAUCCCAGAGCAGGGAGGGCCGCACAAGGACAGUCCAGGACGCGGCUCUGCGGCGUGGGGACGUCCUGAAUCCCACAGGACUGGUGUCCUCAGAAGAGAAGAGACACAAAGACAGACAUACAGGAAGAUGGCAUGUGAAAAUGGAGGCAGAGACUGGAAUGAUGCUGUUCAGAGCUAAGGAGUGCCGGGGGCACCAGAAGCUGGAAGAAGUAAGGAAGGAUUCUCCCCGAGAGCCCUUCAGGAGAGCAGAACCCUGCUGACACCUUGAUUUCAGACUUCUGGCCUCCAGAACUGUGUGAGAAUAAAUUUCUAUUGUUUUAAGACCA